UAGGGAAUCUUCCGCAAUGGACGCAAGUCUGACGGAGCAACGCCGCGUGAGUGAAGAAGGAUUUCGGUUCGUAAAACUCUGUUGUUAGAGAAGAACAGCGCAUAGAGUAACUGUUAUGCGUGUGACGGUAUCUAACCAGAAAGCCACGGCUAACUACGUGCCAGCAGCCGCGGUAAUACGUAGGUGGCAAGCGUUGUCCGGAUUUAUUGGGCGUAAAGCGAGCGCAGGCGGUCAAUUAAGUCUGAUGUGAAAGCCCCCGGGUAAACCGGGGAGGGUCAUUGGAAACUGGUUGACUGGAGUGCAGAAGAGGAGAGUGGAAUUCCAUGUGUAGCGGUGAAAUGCGUAGAUAUAUGGAGGAACACCAGUGGCGAAGGCGACUCUCUGGUCUGUAACUGACGCUGAGGCUCGAAAGCGUGGGUAGCAAACAGG
rnacentral:rRNA from 1 species